rnacentral:rRNA from 1 species
UACAGAGGGGGCAAGCGUUGUUCGGAAUUACUGGGCGUAAAGGGCGCGUAGGCGGCCUGUUAAGUCGAACGUGAAAUCCCCGGGCUCAACCCGGGAACUGCGUCCGAUACUGGCAGGCUUGAAUCCGGGAGAGGGAUGCGGAAUUCCAGGUGUAGCGGUGAAAUGCGUAGAUAUCUGGAGGAACACCGGUGGCGAAGGCGGCAUCUGGACCGGCAUUGACGCUGAGGCGCGAAAGCCAGGGGAGCAAACGGG